AUUGAACGCUGGCGGCAGGCCUAACACAUGCAAGUCGAGCGAGCGGCGGACGGGUGAGUAAUGUCUGGGAAACUGCCUGAUGGAGGGGGAUAACUACUGGAAACGGUAGCUAAUACCGCAUACCAUCAGAUGUGCCCAGAUGGGCUGAGCUAGUGGGUGGGGUAACGGCUCACCUAGGCGACGAUCCCUAGCUGGUCUGAGAGGAUGACCAGCCACGCUGUAAAUGAGAUACGGCCCAGACUCCUACGUGAGGCAGCAGUGGGGAAUAUGGCGCACGGAGCGCAAGCCUGAAUCAGCCAUGCCGCGUGUGUGAAGAAGGCCUUCGGGUUGUAAAGGACUUUCAGCGUGGAGGCGUUACCCGCAGAAGAAGCACCGGCUAACUCCGUGCCAGCAGCCGCGGUAAUAC
rnacentral:rRNA from 1 species